AGUGCCCACACUACGGAUAAACUACCUCACUUCCUGAACGAAUACCUGGUUAAUUAAAAAUAGGUGACAGCGAUUGGAUAACAUCAAAUUUACUAACAAUACACAAUGUAGUUGAUAUAAGAUGUACACAUUUCUUGACAAUUUAGUUUUUAAAAUUAAAUUUAGUUUUCAAAAUACGUCUGUUUUUUUUAUUUUCCAAAUUAUUCGAACCGGAGAAUUAUUCACUAAUUUGAUCAUGAUAUACUGUAUAGCGCACUGCAUUGUACAAAUCAAGCGCACGAGGGCCAUAUUCAUGCGGACCACAAUUUCUUUUGUAAAGUUGCUGACAUUUUACAAGAGGUUCAUUUAGUUUCUGAUUUUCGUUGGGAAUGAUCAGAAUUUUCUAGUAAAUAGCGAACGAUCAAUUGCCUCAGAUUAGUUAUGUAGAUAAUGUAUACUCCAAGCGCGAAUAUCCAAUAUCCAAAUAUGAUAAGCAUUGCAUGCAGUACAUUAAUUGGCUCUUGUGUUGUCGUGGUCACCACACUUGCCCUUCAUGCUACUAGACCCGUUUCAAUCCUUGGUCGGACCUCUACUCAAGG